UCCCUGUUACCAGGGCAGUCUAGCUAGAAAAAUACAACUAACUAUAAGGGUUGCGCUCGUUGAAGGACUUAACCUAACAUCUCACGACACGAGCUGACGACGGCCAUGCAUCACCUGUCACUACGGCCCGAAGGCACUUUCUCCUUUCGGAGAAAUUAGUAGGAUGUCAAGCCUGGGUAAGGUUCUUCGCUUACCAUCGAAUUAAACAACACGCUCCACCGCUUGUGCGGGUCCCCGUCAAUUCCUUUAUGUUUUAAGCUUGCGCUCGUACUCCACAGGCGGGAUGCUUAACGCGUUAGCUUCGCUACAUCCGGGGUCGAUACCGAAUACAGCUAGCAUCCAUAGUUUACGGCGUGGACUAC
rnacentral:misc_RNA from 1 species